rnacentral:rRNA from 1 species
UACGAAGGGGGCUAGCGUUGUUCGGAAUUACUGGGCGUAAAGCGCACGUAGGCGGGUCGUUAAGUCAGGGGUGAAAUCCCAGAGCUCAACUCUGGAACUGCCUUUGAUACUGGCGACCUAGAGUUCGGAAGAGGUUAGUGGAAUUCCCAGUGUAGAGGUGAAACUCGUAGAUAUUGGGAAGAACACCAGUGGCGAAGGCGGCUAACUGGUCCGAUACUGACGCUGAGGUGCGAAAGCGUGGGGAGCAAACAGG